GUACGCUGGCGGCACGCCUAACACAUGCAAGUCGAACGCAGUAGCAAUACUGAGUGGCAAACGGGUGAGUAUAAUGUGGGAAUCUGCCUUUUGGUUUGGAAUAACACGGGGAAACUUGUGCUAAUACCGAAUAAGCCCUUACGGGGAAAGUUUUAAUGCCGAAAGAUGAGCCCGCACUUGAUUAGCUAGUUGGUAAGGUAAAAGCUUACCAAGGCAAUGAUCAAUAGCUGUUCUUAGAGGAAGACCAGCCACAUUGGGACUGAGACACGGCCCAGACUCCUACGGGAGGCAGCAGUGGGGAAUCUUGCACAAUGGGGGAAACCCUGAUGCAGCGAUGCCGCGUGAGUGAAGAAGGCCCUUGGGUUGUAAAACUCUUUCGUCGGGGAAGAAAAUGACUGUACCCGAAUAAGAAGGUC
rnacentral:rRNA from 1 species